ACACGUGGGCAAUCUGCCCUUCACUCUGGGACAAGCCCUGGAAACGGGGUCUAAUACCGGAUAACACUCUGUCCCGCAUGGGACGGGGUUAAAAGCUCCGGCGGUGAAGGAUGAGCCCGCGGCCUAUCAGCUUGUUGGUGGGGUAAUGGCUCACCAAGGCGACGACGGGUAGCCGGCCUGAGAGGGCGACCGGCCACACUGGGACUGAGACACGGCCCAGACUCCUACGGGAGGCAGCAGUGGGGAAUAUUGCACAAUGGGGCGAAAGC
rnacentral:rRNA from 1 species